GGCCAUGACAUUUGGUAUCAGAGCCAAGCCUUGUCCCUCUGGCCGGUGGUGGGGCAAACCUCAGCGCGGACGCUGAGUCCCAAGGGGGGGGUGAGCGGUGGCUCAAUAAAGGGGUGCACUCACCUUAGGCGAAUCCCACAUCGGCUACGCACAAGGUUCACGAUCAGUACAUAAGAGGGGUGGUCUCAGAACAUGGUAGGCGCCUUUUGGGGGCAACUCCAAGGGGACAAAACCGUGAGGGUGACCUCGUACGGAAGGGCCCAAAGCGGACAAUACUUACCAUGGGCUGGGCCAUGACAUUUGGUAUCAGAGCCAAGCCUUGUCCCUCUGGCCGGUGGUGGGGCAAACCUCAGCGCGGACGCUGAGUCCCCAAGGGGGGUGAGCGGUGGCUCAAUAAAGGGGUGCACUCACCUUAGGCGAAUCCCACAUCGGCUACGCACAAGGUUCACGAUCAGUAAAACCGUGAGGGUGACCUCGUACGGAAGGGCCCAAAGCGGACAAUACUUACCAUGGGCUGGGCCAUGACAUUUGGUAUCAGAGCUAAGCCUUGUCCCUCUGGCCGGUGGUGGGGCAAACCUCAGCGCGGAUGCUGAGUCCCCAAGGGGGGGUGAGCGGUGGCUCAAUAAAGGGGUGCACUCACCUUAGGCGAAUCCCACAUCGGCUACGCACAAGGUUCACGAUCAGUACAUAAGAGGGGUGGUCUCAG
rnacentral:lncRNA from 1 species